AUUUUGAUGGAAUUUGGUACAGUGGUAGCUAAUACUCCGGGUUAACAUAUAGGGUAAGUAGUUUUUAUCCCGAAAAAAAAUAGGGAUUCUUCGGGGAUACAGGAUCAAAUUUUUUAUCGAUUUUACUCCAUAACUCCGUCAAAUCUGAACCGAUUUUCACAAUUUUACUUUUUUA